rnacentral:rRNA from 1 species
AACGAACGCUGGCGGCAGGCUUAACACAUGCAAGUCGAACGCUCGUAGCAAUACGGGAGUGGCGGACGGGUGAGUAACGCGUGGGAACGUGCCCUGAGGUACGGAAUAACUGCGGGAAACUGCAGCUAAUACCGUAUGAGCCCCGCAAGGGGGAAAGAUUUAUCGCCUUGGGAGCGGCCCGCGUCGGAUUAGCUAGUUGGUGGGGUAACGGCCUACCAAGGCUUCGAUCCGUAGCUGGUCUGAGAGGACGAUCAGCCACACUGGGACUGAGACACGGCCCAGACUCCUACGGGAGGCAGCAGUGGGGAAUCUUGCGCAAUGGGGGCAACCCUGACGCAGCCAUGCCGCGUGAAUGAUGAAGGCCUUAGGGUUGUAAAGUUCUUUUGCCCGUGACGAUGAUGACGGUAACGGGAGAAUAAGCUCCGGCUAACUUCGUGCCAGCAGCCGCGGU